rnacentral:rRNA from 1 species
AUUGAACGCUGGCGGCAUGCUUUACACAUGCAAGUCGAACGGUAACAGGCCUUCGGGUGCUGACGAGUGGCGCACGGGUGAGUAAUGCAUCGGAACGUGCCCAGAGGUGGGGGAUAACGCAGCGAAAGCUGUGCUAAUACCGCAUGUGAUCUGAGGAUGAAAGCGGGGGACCAAGCAGCAAUGUUUGGCCUCGCGCCUCUGGAGCGGCCGAUGUCAGAUUAGGUAGUUGGUGGGGUAAAGGCCUACCAAGCCGACGAUCUGUAGCUGGUCUGAGAGGACGACCAGCCACACUGGGACUGAGACACGGCCCAGACUCCUACGGGAGGCAGCAGUGGGGAAUGUUGGACAAUGGGCGCAAGCCUGAUCCAGCAAUGCCGCGUGCGGGAAGAAGGCCUUCGGGUUGUAAACCGCUUUUGUACGGAACGAAAAGGCUCUGGCUAAUACCUGGGGCUGAUGACGGUACCGGAAGAAUAAGCACCGGCUAACUACGUG